rnacentral:rRNA from 1 species
GUACGUAGGGGGCAAGCGUUGUCCGGAUUUAUGGUGCGUAAAGAGCGUGUAGGCGGCUAAAUAGGUCCGUUGUGAAAACUCGAGGCUCAACCUCGAGAUGCCGAUGGAAACCAUUUGGCUAGAGUCCGGAAGAGGAGAGUGGAAUUCCCGGUGUAGCGGUGAAAUGCGCAGAUAUCGGGAAGAACACCCGUGGCUAAGGCGGCUCUCUAGUACGGUACUGACGCUGAGACGCGAAAGCGUGGGGAGCAAACGGG